rnacentral:rRNA from 2 species
UUGACGCUGGCGGCAGGCUAACACAUGCAAGUCGAGCGGUAGAGAGAAGCUUGCUUCUCUUGAGAGCGGCGGACGGGUGAGUAAUGCCUAGGAAUCUGCCUGGUAGUGGGGGAUAACGUCCGGAAACGGACGCUAAUACCGCAUACGUCCUACGGGAGAAAGCAGGGGACCUUCGGGCCUUGCGCUAUCAGAUGAGCCUAGGUCGGAUUAGCUAGUUGGUGAGGUAAUGGCUCACCAAGGCGACGAUCCGUAACUGGUCUGAGAGGAUGAUCAGUCACACUGGAACUGAGACACGGUCCAGACUCCUACGGGAGGCAGCAGUGGGGAAUAUUGGACAAUGGGCGAAAGCCUGAUCCAGCCAUGCCGCGUGUGUGAAGAAGGUCUUCGGAUUGUAAAGCACUUUAAGUUGGGAGGAAGGGCAGUUGCCUAAUACGUAACUGUUUUGACGUUACCGACAGAAUAAGCACCGGCUAACUCU